UACGUAGGAUCCGAGCGUUAUCCGGAGUGACUGGGCGUAAAGAGUUGCGUAGGUGGUUUGUUAAGCGAAUAGUGAAAUCUGGCGGCUCAACCGUACAGACUAUUAUUCGAACUGGCAAACUCGAGAAUGGUAGAGGUAACUGGAAUUUCUGAAGUAGGGGUAAUAUCCGUAGAUAUCAGAAGGAACACCAAUGGCGUAGGCAGGUUACUGGACCAUUUCUGACACUGAGGCACGAAAGCGUGGGGAGCGAACCGG
rnacentral:misc_RNA from 1 species